rnacentral:sRNA from 1 species
AUUAGAAGAUACAAAGCCAAAGACUCAUACGGAUUUCGUCUACACCAUCAAGGCUUUGAGAAGUAAGAAGAAGCUUGGUUAGUGUUUUGGAGUCAAAUAUGACUUGAUGUCAUGUGUAUGAUUGAGUAUAAGAACUACAACCGCAACCAGAUCUUAAAAGCCUAAGUAGUAUUUCUUUGUUAGAUGACACAAAGCCAAAGAUUUAUACGGAUUUCCGCUACACCAUCAUAGCUUUGAGAAGCAAGAAGAAGCUUGGUUAGUGUUUUGAAGUCAAAUAUUUUUCAUGUACAAAGCUCGUUAAGAGCAUAUAGGGUAUCCUUACAUAGCGGGUGGGACCCACGACAAAUGGUUCAUAAAGUCUUCAAAAA